CACCCCUCUAGGUCAUCACAGAGAGCCAGGCUGGACUCCCGGUAUUAUGACUUCAAUUUCACUGGAAGUACAUCUCAGGCUAGUUUUCAGACAGGUAGGUUAUAGGAGAGCAUGGCCAGAAAACAUCCCUCAAACGGAUAAAUCUGUUAUGUAGUGUUCAUGAAGCAAUGAAACCUCAGACUGAACUUCUAAAUAAACGUUUGUAGCUACAAAUGAGCUAGAGCCUUUUCUUCUCAGCUUAGUAAGUAUUUCCUUCUGCCCUAUAGGGUCAGACUAAUAUUGAUUGUAAUUCUCUACUACCACCUAGUGGAAAAUCCAUCCGUUUCUUAUUUUAAAAAUUCCAUAGUAAAUACCUGAUUGCUUGUUGUCAAGUUAUCUUGUUAUAAAAAGUUCAAACCCUAUAGAAGAGUGUAAAAAGGGUAACUGCUGCUGCUGCUGCUAAGUUGCUUCAGUCGUGUCCGACUCUGUGCGACCCCAUAGACAGCAGCCCACCAGGCUCCCCCGUCCCUGGGAUUCUCCAGGCAAAAACACUGGAGUGGGUUGCCAUUUCUUCCUCCAAUGCAUGAAAGUGAAAAGUGAAAGUGAAGUCGCUCAGUCAUGUCUGACUCUUAGCGACCCCAUGGACUACAGCCUACCAGGCUCCUCCGUCCAUGGGAUUUUCCAGGCAAGAGUACUGGAGUGGGGUGUCAUUGCCUUCUCCAAAAAGGGUAAAAGGGCUCCUUUUUCACUUGCCCUUCCCCUAUCACUCUGCUUCCCAAAGGUAACUGGGCUCUGUGGCCUAUAUCCUGCAAGAACACUUCCUGUAUUUUUUACAUAUUCAGAGGUACAGCAGAAAAAUUCUAAGACAUCAGCUGAAGAUUGUUUUGUCUUUCUAUUAUAGAGAUGGAGAAAGCAUCACCACUUCAUGCCUUGAGUGGCCACAGGCGGACAAAGAUGGUCAAAAGGUUAAACUCUUGGAGGGAUAGAUUAGGAGUUAGAGAUUAACAUAAACACACUACUAUAUAAAACAGAUAACUAAGAUCCACUGUAUAACACAGGGAACUGUACUCAAUAUUUUAUAAUAACCUGUAAGGGGAGAGAAUCUGAAAAAAAUGUAUAACCGAGUCACUUUACACCUUAAGCUAACAGCACUGUAAAUCAACUAUACUUCAGUUUUUUUUUUUUUUAAAGAUAAAAAAUGGUGAAGCUUUUGAACUUAAAGUUUACUUUUGAAAACUAUGGUAGAAGAAAGAAGAAUGAAAGGCCUAAAUUGGUAAAUAUCUGGUCAGUAAAUGGUAGAUUUGGGAAGGACUCCUGAUGAAGUUAGUGCCACUUUUCUUGCCUGGAGUUGAUACAGGAUCUAUGGGCUGAGGAGAGUGUCAGGGACGGGACCAGAGCCUUACGCUCUAAUCCUUCUAAUCUGUGUCACAGAUGUUUUUGUUUUAGUUUAGUUUAAAUAAUUUGAGUUUAAAAAUCUGAUCUACUAAAUUUGGGAGCGUAAAAGGAAAUAGCAUAUUUGCUGUGCUCUUCUUGACCUAUAAACUGUUUGGUUUUGCUAGUCCAAUAACUAGGGUGACAAUAAAACAUUUAAAAAUAAAUGUAAGAAGGUAACAUGAUAAUUAUAAGAAGUUUUAGGUCUCUUAUGACUCAGAGGGUUUUGUUAUUUGCUUUUACAAUGAUUUAAGAACAUGAAAAACUUUAUUGAGGUGUAAUUUACGUAAAACCAAUGGAACCAUUUGAAGUAUUCAGCUUGAUGAGUUUUAACAAAUGAAUACAUGUGUAACCACCACCUCAACUGAUACAUAGAACAUUUUUCUUGUCUCAGAAAGUUCACUCUCUCUUGACAUUUAGCAGUCACUUCCCACUCUAUUAGACACUUACUAAUUUGAUUUCUAUCACUUUAAAUUGAUCUUGGGGCAAAAAAACUAAAGGACUUCUGUCCUCACAUUCAUUUUGCUGUCUCAAUUUCUGGGAAGCAAACCUAAAUGUAAGCAUACCUAUUUAAUUAACACAGGACAUGCUUUUAUUUUUUAAACUAUUGGUUCUUGUGAACUUUAGACAAUGUUGCAAAUCAUUUGACAGUUUCUCCACUUACUUUCUCCCUAAAAAUUUGAAAUUUCACCUCUAAGUGAAAACUUCUAAGAUUAUGUUAACUUUAUGCUGCUAAGUUGCUUUAGUCGUGUCUGACUCUGUGUGACCCUAUAGACAGCAGCCCACCAGGCUCCCCCCUCCCUGGGAUUCUCCAGGCAAGAACACUGGAGUGGGUUGCCAUUUCCUUCUCCAAUGCAUGAAAGUGAAAAGUGAAAGUGAAGUUGCUCAGUUGUGUCCAACCCUUAGUGACCCCACGGACUGCAGCCUUCCAGGCUCCUCCGCCCACGGGAUUUUCCGAGCAAGAGGACUGGAGUGGGCUGCCAUUGCCAUUGCCUUCUCCGAUGUUAACUUUGUAGUCUCACCUAAAUGAUUUUAUAACUUCAGACUAAUUUAAAUUGAGCUAAUCAAGAAAUAACUUUUGAUUACUUGAAACAUGCUUAGAAGAAAUAAUAAUUUAUAGAGACAAAAGAAAAAAA
ensembl:lncRNA